UAGCCCGUUGUGUAAUACCCUGGUGGAGACUGAGGUUCGCGCUUCUGCAAGGAUGCUGGCGUAAUGGUCAUCAACGACCCGUCUUGUAACACGGACCAAGGAGUCUGACAUGUGUGCGAGUCAACGGGCGAGUAAACCCGUAAGGCGCAAGGAAGCUGAUUGGCGUGAUCCCCCCGAGGGGUGCAACGCCGACCGACCUCGAUCUUCUGAGAAGGGUUUGAGUGUGAGCAUACCUGUCGGGACCCGAAAGAUGGUGAACUAUGCCUGAAUAGG
rnacentral:rRNA from 1 species